CAAUAGCGUAUAUUAAAGCUGUUGCGGCUAAAAAGCUCGUAGUUGGAUUUCUGUCAAGGACAACUGGUCCGCCCUCCGGGUGAGCACAUAGUUUGGUCUUGGCAUCUUGCUGGAAACUGUUGCUGCACUUGGCUGUGUGGCGCAGCGUCCAGCACUUUCACUUUGAGGAAAUUGGAGUGUUUCAAGCAGGCACAUGCCUUUGGACACAGUAGCAUGGAAUAAUUAGAUUGGGCUUUUGCUCCAAUUUGUCGGUUUCUGGAGCUGAGGUGAGAAUUAAUGGGGAUUGUUGGGGGCAUCCGAAUUUAGCCGUCAGAGGUGAAAUUCUUGGAUCUGCUAAAGACGGACAACUGCGAAAGCGUUUGCCCAGGAUGUUUUCAUUGA
rnacentral:rRNA from 1 species